rnacentral:rRNA from 10 species
UUAAGUUAUUAAGGGCGCACGGUGGAUGCCUUGGCACUAGAAGCCGAUGAAGGACGUUACUAACGACGAUAUGCUUUGGGGAGCUGUAAGUAAGCUUUGAUCCAGAGAUUUCCGAAUGGGGAAACCCAGCAUGAGUUAUGUCAUGUUAUCGAUAUGUGAAUACAUAGCAUAUCAGAAGGCACACCCGGAGAACUGAAACAUCUUAGUACCCGGAGGAAGAGAAAGAAAAUUCGAUUCCCUUAGUAGCGGCGAGCGAAAUGGGAAGAGCCCAAACCAACAAGCUUGCUUGUUGGGGUUGUAGGACACUCUAUACGGAGUUACAAAGGACGACAUUAGACGAAUCAUCUGGAAAGAUGAAUCAAAGAAGGUAAUAAUCCUGUAGUCGAAAAUGUAGUCUCUCUUGAGUGGAUCCUGAGUACGACGGAGCACGUGAAAUUCCGUCGGAAUCUGGGAGGACCAUCUCCUAAGGCUAAAUACUCUCUAGUGACCGAUAGUGAACCAGUACCGUGAGGGAAAGGUGAAAAGCACCCCGGAAGGGGAGUGAAAUAGAACCUGAAACCGUGUGCUUACAAGUAGUCAGAGCCCGUUAAUGGGUGAUGGCGUGCCUUUUGUAGAAUGAACCGGCGAGUUACGAUUUGAUGCAAGGUUAAGCAGUAAAUGUGGAGCCGUAGCGAAAGCGAGUCUGAAUAGGGCGUUUAGUAUUUGGUCGUAGACCCGAAACCAGGUGAUCUACCCUUGGUCAGGUUGAAGUUCAGGUAACACUGAAUGGAGGACCGAACCGACUUACGUUGAAAAGUGAGCGGAUGAACUGAGGGUAGCGGAGAAAUUCCAAUCGAACCUGGAGAUAGCUGGUUCUCUCCGAAAUAGCUUUAGGGCUAGCCUCAAGUGAUGAUUAUUGGAGGUAGAGCACUGUUUGGACGAGGGGCCCCUCUCGGGUUACCGAAUUCAGACAAACUCCGAAUGCCAAUUAAUUUAACUUGGGAGUCAGAACAUGGGUGAUAAGGUCCGUGUUCGAAAGGGAAACAGCCCAGACCACCAGCUAAGGUCCCAAAAUAUAUGUUAAGUGGAAAAGGAUGUGGCGUUGCCCAGACAACUAGGAUGUUGGCUUAGAAGCAGCCAUCAUUUAAAGAGUGCGUAAUAGCUCACUAGUCGAGUGACACUGCGCCGAAAAUGUACCGGGGCUAAACAUAUUACCGAAGCUGUGGAUUGUCCUUUGGACAAUGGUAGGAGAGCGUUCUAAGGGCGUUGAAGCAUGAUCGUAAGGACAUGUGGAGCGCUUAGAAGUGAGAAUGCCGGUGUGAGUAGCGAAAGACGGGUGAGAAUCCCGUCCACCGAUUGACUAAGGUUUCCAGAGGAAGGCUCGUCCGCUCUGGGUUAGUCGGGUCCUAAGCUGAGGCCGACAGGCGUAGGCGAUGGAUAACAGGUUGAUAUUCCUGUACCACCUAUAAUCGUUUUAAUCGAUGGGGGGACGCAGUAGGAUAGGCGAAGCGUGCGAUUGGAUUGCACGUCUAAGCAGUAAGGCUGAGUAUUAGGCAAAUCCGGUACUCGUUAAGGCUGAGCUGUGAUGGGGAGAAGACAUUGUGUCUUCGAGUCGUUGAUUUCACACUGCCGAGAAAAGCCUCUAGAUAGAAAAUAGGUGCCCGUACCGCAAACCGACACAGGUAGUCAAGAUGAGAAUUCUAAGGUGAGCGAGCGAACUCUCGUUAAGGAACUCGGCAAAAUGACCCCGUAACUUCGGGAGAAGGGGUGCUCUUUAGGGUUAACGCCCAGAAGAGCCGCAGUGAAUAGGCCCAAGCGACUGUUUAUCAAAAACACAGGUCUCUGCUAAACCGUAAGGUGAUGUAUAGGGGCUGACGCCUGCCCGGUGCUGGAAGGUUAAGAGGAGUGGUUAGCUUCUGCGAAGCUACGAAUCGAAGCCCCAGUAAACGGCGGCCGUAACUAUAACGGUCCUAAGGUAGCGAAAUUCCUUGUCGGGUAAGUUCCGACCCGCACGAAAGGCGUAACGAUUUGGGCACUGUCUCAACGAGAGACUCGGUGAAAUCAUAGUACCUGUGAAGAUGCAGGUUACCCGCGACAGGACGGAAAGACCCCGUGGAGCUUUACUGUAGCCUGAUAUUGAAAUUCGGCACAGCUUGUACAGGAUAGGUAGGAGCCUUUGAAACGUGAGCGCUAGCUUACGUGGAGGCGCUGGUGGGAUACUACCCUAGCUGUGUUGGCUUUCUAACCCGCACCACUUAUCGUGGUGGGAGACAGUGUCAGGCGGGCAGUUUGACUGGGGCGGUCGCCUCCUAAAAGGUAACGGAGGCGCUCAAAGGUUCCCUCAGAAUGGUUGGAAAUCAUUCAUAGAGUGUAAAGGCAUAAGGGAGCUUGACUGCGAGACCUACAAGUCGAGCAGGGUCGAAAGACGGACUUAGUGAUCCGGUGGUUCCGCAUGGAAGGGCCAUCGCUCAACGGAUAAAAGCUACCCCGGGGAUAACAGGCUUAUCUCCCCCAAGAGUUCACAUCGACGGGGAGGUUUGGCACCUCGAUGUCGGCUCAUCGCAUCCUGGGGCUGUAGUCGGUCCCAAGGGUUGGGCUGUUCGCCCAUUAAAGCGGUACGCGAGCUGGGUUCAGAACGUCGUGAGACAGUUCGGUCCCUAUCCGUCGUGGGCGUAGGAAAUUUGAGAGGAGCUGUCCUUAGUACGAGAGGACCGGGAUGGACAUACCUCUGGUGUACCAGUUGUCGUGCCAACGGCAUAGCUGGGUAGCUAUGUGUGGACGGGAUAAGUGCUGAAAGCAUCUAAGCAUGAAGCCCCCCUCAAGAUGAGAUUUCCCAACUUCGGUUAUAAGAUCCCUCAAAGAUGAUGAGGUUAAUAGGUUCGAGGUGGAAGCAUGGUGACAUGUGGAGCUGACGAAUACUAAUCGAUCGAAGACUUAAUCAA